rnacentral:rRNA from 1 species
UACGUAGGGUGCGAGCGUUAAUCGGAAUUACUGGGCGUAAAGCGUGCGCAGGCGGUGAUGUAAGACCGAUGUGAAAUCCCCGGGCUUAACCUGGGAACUGCAUUUGAGACUGUAUGGCUAGAGUGUGUCAGAGGGGGGGUAGAAUUCCACGUGUAGCAGUGAAAUGCGUAGAUAUGUGGAGGAAUACCGAUGGCGAAGGCAGCCCCCUGGGAUAACACUGACGCUCAUGCACGAAAGCGUGGGGAGCAAACAGG